rnacentral:lncRNA from 1 species
UUACCAAGUAGAGACUCUUGCUCCCUUCCUUUACUUUCUCCCAAACACAUAAAGUCUCUCUCUGUAUGCUGAGCCACCUGGAGCUGGAAGAGGAGUGAUACAAGCACCUCUGUGACUACUACCAUUGGGACUGCACUGAGUCAGACCUAAAGCCAGUACAUAACUGGGUCUUGCCCAAGAGCCACAGUAACUACUGCCUGGUACUUCCUAUGUUCACUCAAGGCCCUAGGGCUCUACAAUAGAAGCCAGCCAGGCUUGUGUCCUUCUCUUCAGGGCAGUGAGUUCCCCUGACUCCAGGUGGGUUCAGAGAUGCCGUCCAGGAGCCAGGCCUAGAGUCAGAAACCUUAGGGAUCUACCUGGUGCUCUAUUCUACUGUGACUGAGCUGGUACCCAAGACACAAGAUAAAGUUCUUCAUACUCUUCCCUCCCUUUGCAGAAGAAUCUCUCCCUGUGGCCACCAUGCCCCAGGCCCACAGCAAGUACUGCCUGGCUACCACCAAUGUUCACUCAAGACCCAAGGCUCUUCAGUCAACUUGUGGUGAAUGCUGCUGGGCCUGGGACUCUCCCUUUAGGGCCCUGGUCCCAGGGAAGGUCCAGAUAUGCCAUCCACAAGCCAAGGCCUGGAAUCAGGAACCCCAAGAGCCUGCUUGGUGCUCUACCCUACUGUGGCUGAGCUGGUACCUAACUGCAAGACAAAGUCCUCUCUACUUUUUUCUCAAGCAGAAGGAGUCCCUCCCUGUGGCUACCAUAGCUGGGAAUGUGCUGGGUUUACACCUGAAGCCAGCACAUCUCUGAAUCUCUCACCCAGGGCCCAUGGUGGAAGGAAGGAGUCUCUCCUGGAGCCAUGAGCUGUGCUGCCUGGUGCUGUGGGAGAGGUGGUGCAAGCAUUUCCUUGGUUACCCUGGCCAGUGUCUCACUAGGUCACAUAACCCCUAAGUCCACUGGCUCUGAUCCUGGAACAGCACCCGGACUUGCCGAGGAAUUGCAGUCCUGUGGCUUAGACUGCCUCUCAAGUUUACUUAGAACCCCAGAGCAUUUUAGCCCACAAUGAUGAGGCUUGCUGGAACUCAGGUCUCAGCUACUGGGAUAGACAAUUCCCCACCCAGAUAGGGCUGGUCUAAAUGCUCUUCCAUGCUUCCAUGGGUUCUGGCUGAGUUUUGGAUGGUGUUGCUUCCCACUGUGACAGGGUGGCAGUGAGUUCCAAUGCAAAGUGUGCCACAAUCACUGUGCUUUCCCUCCCCCAAACACAUAGAUUCUCUCUCCAUGCCAUGUGGCCACUGCCAGGGGAUGGAAGAGGGGUGGUGUCUGCAAUUCAAGAUGGUUUUUUCUACCCUUUUAUGUGCUCUUUAAGUAAUAUGAAGUUAAAACCAGGUACUAUGAUUACUCACCUGAUUUUUGGUUGUUAUGAAGGUGAUUUUUUUGUGUGAAUAGUUGUUCAAUUUGGUGUUCCUGUGGGGAGGACAAUUAGUAGAGGCUUUUAUUCAGCCAUCUUGCCCCACCUCCUCCUCUGCAAUUGUCAACUUUUUUUUUUGAGAUGGGAUCUUGCUAUGUUGCCCAGGCUGGUCUUGAACUCCUAGGCUGCUCAAGGAAUCUUCCCAUCUCAGCCUCCCAAAGUGCUAGGAUUACAGGCAUGAGCCACAUGGCCGGCCUGCAAUAGUCAACUUUUAAUACCCCCACCGAUAUCUUAGACUAGGAUCACUUGGCUGCAAGGAACAGGAACCUUUUUAAACCAGCUCAAGAAAAAGGGGUGUG